GUCCAGGGGCGGGAAUCGAACCCACAACCUUCUGCUUACCGGGCAGGUGCCAUGUCCACUAGGCUACCCUGGA